AACCCUUGUCCUUAGUUACCAGCACGUUAUGGUGGGCACUCUAAGGAGAACUGCCGGUGACGAAACCGGAGGAAGGUGGGGAUGACGUCAAGUCAUCAUGGCCCUUACGGCCUGGGCUACAUACGUGCUACAAUGGUCGGUACAAAGGGUUGCCAAGCCGCGAGGUGGAGCUAAUCCCAUAAAACCGAUCGUAGUCCGGAUCGCAGUCUGCAACUCGACUGCGUGAAGUCGGAAUCGCUAGUAAUCGUGAAUCAGAAUGUCACGGUGAAUACGUUCCCGGGCCUU
rnacentral:rRNA from 1 species